GAUGAACGCUAGCUACAGGCUUAACACAUGCAAGUCGAGGGGCAGCAUGAUUGAAGCUUGCUUCAAUCGAUGGCGACCGGCGCACGGGUGAGUAACACGUAUCCAACCUGCCGAUAACUCGGGGAUAGCCUUUCGAAAGAAAGAUUAAUACCCGAUAGUAUAGUAUUUCCGCAUGGUUUCACUAUUAAAGAACUUCGGUUAUCGAUGGGGAUGCGUUCCAUUAGAUAGUUGGCGGGGUAACGGCCCACCAAGUCAACGAUGGAUAGGGGUUCUGAGAGGAAGGGCCCCCACAUUGGAACUGAGACACGGUCCAAACUCCUACGGGAGGCAGCAGUGAGGAAUAUUGGUCAAUGGACGAGAGUCUGAACCAGCCAAGUAGCGUGAAGGAUGACUGCCCUAUGGGUUGUAAACUUCUUUUAUACGGGAAUAAAGUGGAGUAUGCAUACUCCUUUGUAUGUACCGUAUGAAUAAGGAUCGGCUAACUCCGUG
rnacentral:rRNA from 1 species